rnacentral:rRNA from 1 species
GACGAACGCUGGCGGCGUGCUUAACACAUGCAAGUCGAGCGGUAAGGCCCUUUCGGGGGUACACGAGCGGCGAACGGGUGAGUAACACGUGGGUGACCUGCCCUUAGCUCUGGGAUAAGCCUGGGAAACUGGGUCUAAUACCGGAUAUGACUCCAUGACGCAUGUUGUGGGGUGGAAAGCCUUGUGCGGCUAGGGAUGGGCCCGCGGCCUAUCAGCUUGUUGGGUGGGGUGAGGCCUACCAAGGCGACGACGGGUAGCCGGCCUGAGAGGGCGACCGGCCACACUGGGACUGAGACACGGCCCAGACUCCUACGGGAGGCAGCAGUGGGGAAUCUUGCGCAAUGGGCGAAAGCCUGACGCAGCGACGCCGCGUGGGGAUGACGGCCU